rnacentral:tRNA from 3 species
GGGGCUAUAGCUCAGAUGGUAGAGCAUCUGCUUUGCACGCAGAGGGUCAGCGGUUCAAUUCCGCUUAGCUCCA